UGGACAUAUUAUUGUAUUCGACUGUAUUCACGGCGUGAAACAGGGGAUUACAGUGCUUUUAAACGGAAAGUGAAUCAAUUAAUCAUAAUAGACUCCU
rnacentral:pre_miRNA from 1 species